rnacentral:rRNA from 1 species
CGGAAUUACUGGGCGUAAAGCGUGUGCAGGCGGCUUUGCAAGACAGAUGUUAAAUCCCCGGGCUCAACCUGGGAACUGCAUUUGUGACUGCAAGGCUAGAGUACGGCAGAGGGGGAUGGAAUUCCGCGUGUAGCAGUGAAAUGCGUAGAUAUGCGGAGGAACACCGAUGGCGAAGGCAAUCCCCUGGGCCUGUACUGACGCUCAUGCACGAAAGCGUGGGGAGCAAACAGG